GACCUUUACGUCUCUAAGCUUUCCUCCAGUGAUGGACUUCCCCCAGCAAGGCUACAGCAGCUAAGCCUCCACAGUAGGGCCACUAACUGGGAGCCAGGGAGCCAGGUGUUUGUUAAAACGACCAGGACUGUGGGAGACAUUUCUCAUUCAAAUUUCCACAGCCAAGCCCCAGGUGGAGCUCCAGGAGUCCAAUCGCUUUUAUGACUGCAUCUCACUACCUGGAGGCAGAUCGGGAACAUCGGAAAUUCAAGAUUAUCUGCAGCUGCACAGUGAGUUCUAGGCCAGGCUGGACUCCAUGAGGCUGUGCUCUGAGCAAACAAACAAACCAACAAAAACAAACAAACCAACAAAAAUACCAAACAACCACCUCAGAAAACAAGAUGGGACACAGUUAAGUGAAAUAUCAUGAAAGAUUAUGUGCUUAUCAUGUGCAAGUCUACGCACCCAACCUCCAAAUAAAUUCGAAAACUUUAAUUAAAAAAAAUAGGCAAGUAGGACAUGAUAGCACAUGCCUGUAGUCCAUCACUUGUUGGAAGGCCAGAGAGUCAAAACUUCAGGUCAUCAGCAACUACAUGUUGAGUUCAAGGCUAGCCUGGGCUGUGUGGGAUCCUGUCUCAAAAGAUAGAAAUGGGAUGGUGAACCUUCUCAGUAUGGGCUUAGCCACAGUCCUUGACAACCUUAGGGAUACCUCCACUGACUCUGCCUCCGACCCUUGGCCUACAUUUCUCCCAAGUCUUUCUCUGUAUACAAACCAGCUAGACAUCUCCAGGCACCAUCAGUAAUCUGUCACACAGACCCACAAUCAGCUUGAGACCACCACAGUUAUGUUUGCAUGUGUGCAAUACCUGUAGAGGCCAGAAGAGGGCUGCAUUAGAUUCCUUUGGAGCUGGAGUUUUACCCGCAGUUGUAAGGCCGGUGACAAGGGUGCUGAGGACUGAACUGGGUGGGAUCCUCUAAGAGACCUGAAGCCCCUUAGCGCUUCACCAUCUCUCCAGCGCUUUAUAGUAUCUCUAUAAAACUGGUCAAGGUCUACAGCGUUUAUUUGAACCAGCUACAUAUCAUUUUCAUAAGGAUCCCUGGAGGCUAUAGUUAUACAUGGUUAUUUCAUCCUUCACAAACGCAAUGCGGUACAGAAGCCAGGACUGUAAUAGACAACACAGAAGAGUGACAGUCUCAGUUCCUCUCACAGUGACAAGAGCCUUUCAGUGUUCUGGCACGAGGCGUAGUCCAUAUCUGACGCCAAUAUUUCAAGCAUAGUGCCAGGAAUUCUGGACAAUAAGAAUGACUCAGAAAAAAAAAGAGAGAAACCUCAACCUUCAACUGUCAACUCUUUCCAAACACCAGCUAAUGUUCCCCAGGACUGGCAGCACGUGACCUCUCUGUUUUCAGAUGUGUUUUUCAACAUGUAAUGGUCUGGCUGUGUCACCAUCUGCAUUGAGGAAUGUACACUAGGAAAAUCACAAGGAGCGGUCUGGGAAGAGAGCCACAGGAAUGGAAUGCCGUGCACGUUGUGGGGCUAUUUCCCCCCUCCCCUGUUAUCCCCAUUUGGAGCAGGUCAGGCUGCACUGAUAACAGCUGCAGAAACAAUUGGAGACCUUAUUCAUAAAAUCAAAGGCAGCAUGCCAGAUGGCCACCAACCAAAGGAACUGAGGCUGCAGAGGAUUAGCAAAAGCUGGUGCCACGGGGAGCAAACCCCCUGAGAAUAAACAUCUUUGUACUUCUGCUACACUGUCAAAAUCAGAAUGCAAACAAGGAUGAAGGUAGCAGAGAGUCUAUCUCAGCACUGAGUGGUUUAUUCCAAACUUGAAAGAAUCGGACAUUCCAUCAACAAAUGUUUGUGUGACAUUCUAUAAAGGACACAAGCCAUAUGGCCUUUGUAAAUGGGAAAUGUACACUGGUGUGUCUUCUCAGACAUUAGAAGGAGCCCAUGGCAAGGACAGGAUCUGGUAACUGAUGAUGCAAACUGCCCCCGAAAGCAAGAAAGGAUGGUAUUAAUUGCAGGUAUGAAGACUUACUUGUGAAGAAAGAAACACUGAAUUUUCGAGGCUAGCAUGGAAAAACAAAAGAACAAUACAAGGUCACAGACUGCGUUAUUCAGCUCUCAUGCUCUCCGGCUGUGAUGUGGCAAGUACAGUAUUGGUCCAACAGCACCUAUCCUAGUGGGCUGAAGUUGCAGAAUGCCAAGAAAAGUGAUGACUGCCAGCGUGAAGAUGCUCACACAACAUGUCAUGAACAGAGAGAAACAUGACCUUUCAAAUCAU